CUCCUUCUCCUUCUCCUUCUCCUUCUCCUUCUCCUUCUCCUUCUCCUUCUCACCAAGUCCCCCUCUGGGCAGCCCCACCCUCAGAGCCUACAAACCAGUGAAGGAACAAAAUACAGACAAAAGCUUAUAAGAAGCAAAACACACCCGAGCCCGCCCCUGUCGCUUGCCUGAGACACACACAGGAAGGAAGUGGCCGGGUGAUUCAAGCACGGAGAACUGCGAUGUCUCAAGCAGGGAAUAUUUUCUGACAAGCUCUUCCUGACUGUGGUUUUGAACGAGAUUUCGAGAUUUCGGUGGACAUCAGCCCGGCCCCCCACGGCGUCCCCCCCCACCAGCGCAGCCCGCCACGCACGGUGCCUGCUGUCUAGACACAGACACGGCGGUCGGGGUGGACGCCCGACCAGGAAGGCGCCCAGCGGGCUGCUGCUGCUCCCCAGGCCUGGGACCCGGGAGGCUGAGCAAAGACGGCCGCUGCCAAGGGGAGGCAAAUGAAGUUCCUCUACGACACACACUUGCCCUGUUUCGCUACCUCACCGCAAGCCCCCAGGUGCUGGGGCCAACCAUCCAUGGACUGAACCAUGCAGAACACGUGUGAUGUCUUCUGCCAACAACACAGCAUGAAGCCUCUCUCCAGACACCAGCACCUUGAACUUGGACUUAUAGCCUCUAGAGCAGCGGUGGUGAACCUAUGGCACGCGGGCCACAGUGGGCUGUUGGAAGCACUGAAAGCUUUAAAAAGUUCGCCAUCACUGCACUACAGUGAGCUUCUUAAAUUCCACACAGAAAAAGAAAAUGCUGAGAUUGUGAUUCAAGUUACAUUAAAUCUACUGAUCAAAUUAUAUAUAUAUUCUAUUGUAAAUAAAAUUUUUUCUUUAUUCUUUAUUAUUUUUAAUCAUUCAUUGUUAGGGUGUAGAUAUGUAAGUCAAUUAUUGUGGGUUAAUAUUUUUUUCCUGCACCUUUGCUAUAAGUUUUUAUUAGUUCUAGUGGGUUUUUUGUGUAAUCUUUAGGAUUUUCUACAUAUAGAGUCAUUUCACCUGCAGAGAUACCUAACUUCUUUUCUAAUUUGAAUGCCUUUUAUUUUUUUUUUCUUUCCUGAUUGCUAUGGCUGGAACUUCCAGUUCUGUGUUCAACAGCAGAGGUGAGAAUGGAGAUUCUUUCUUUGCUCCUGAUCUUAGAGGGAAAGCUUUCAGCUUUUCACCAUUGAGCAUACUUUUUUGUAGUCUAGUUUAAAUAAUUUUGUUGGUUUAAAAAAAACAGCUCUUAACUUUGUUGGCUUUUUCUGAUUGUUUUUCUCUUUGGUAUUUUAUUUAUUUCUUCUCUAACUUUUAUUAUUUUAUUCCUCCUGCUCACUUUCAUUUUAGUUUAUGCUAGCUUUUUUCUGAUAUAAGAUUAGGUUGUUGAUUGAAAACUUUCUUAUCUUUUAAUGUAGGUGUUUACUGUCAUAAACUUUUCUCUUAGUAGUGCUUUUUUGUGUUUUUUGUUUGUUUUCAUUUGUUUAAAGAUAUGUCCUUCAGCACCACAGUGCCUGCCUGGCAAGCACGAAGCCCUAAGUUCUAUUCCUGGUACCAAAAAAACCCACCAAGUAAUAAAAAUAUGUCCUUUUUCACAGGUGAUUUCUUCAUAGAUCCAUUGGCUGUUCGGGAAUGUGUUGUUUAAUUUCCACAUACUUAUGAUUUUCUGGGUUUCCUUUGGGUAUUGAUUUCUAGUUUCUUUCUAUUGUGGUCAGAAAAGAUACUUGGUAUGAUUUCAAUCGUACAUUUUUUACGAUUUGUUUCAUGGGUUGACAUAUGCUCUCUCUGGGAAAAAGUUCCAUGUGCAAUUUAGAAGAAUUUCUAUUCUGCUGAUGUUGAGUAUUAUGUUCUGUAUGUCUUUUAGGUUCCAUCAAUCGUUCAAAUGUUCAGUUUCCUUAUUGAUCUUCCAUCUGGUUGUUCUAUGCAUUACUGAAAUUGGAAUGUUAAUAUCUUUUUUAUUGUGUUACUGAUAUUUUCUCCAUUCAAUUCUUUCAAU